rnacentral:rRNA from 1 species
UGGGGAAUAUUGGACAAUGGGGGCAACCCUGAUCCAGCAAUGCCGCGUGAGUGAUGAAGGCCUUCGGGUUGUAAAGCUCUUUUGUUAGGGACGAUGAUGACGGUACCUAACGAAUAAGCUCCGGCUAACUUCGUGCCAGCAGCCGCGGUAAUACGAAGGGAGCUAGCGUUGUUCGGAAUUACUGGGCGUAAAGGGCGCGUAGGCGGCUUGAUAAGUUUGAUGUGAAAGCCCUGGGCUUAACCUAGGAAUAGCAUUGAAUACUGUCAGGCUAGAGGCCGAGAGAGGGAAAUGGAAUUGCGAGUGUAGAGGUGAAAUUCGUAGAUAUUCGCAAGAACACCAGUGGCGAAGGCGAUUUCCUGGCUCGGUACUGACGCUAAGGCGCGAAAGCGUGGGGAGCAAACAGGAUUAGAUACCCCGGUAGUCC